GACCGUGCUGUGACUACAUCAGGCACUGCUGUUAGGACUCGGGAACAAUGCUACUAAAUCAUCUGAUUCUCAUCUUUAUUAUAAAUCUACAUUGUGGGACAUGUAAAGAAGAUGUAAUACAGACGCCUCCUGCACUCACUGCAGAGCAAGGACAUACAGCGGCUAUGAGCUGUGAAUAUACGGACAGUGCUUUCUACAGUCUGCAGUGGUACAAGCAAUUUCUAGGAAGGGGUUUAGUGCCUUUAGUAAUCUUGAGAGACAGUAAUAAGAAUGUUACUCGAAACAGAUAUGUAUUUGCAUUGAAGAAGGAUCAGAAGUUAAGUACCAUGUUCAUCACGAAUCUGGAAGUGGAAGACUCAGCUGUCUACUGGUGUGGGUAUGAGGCACAGUAACAGAAAGCAGCCAGUAACUGUGCAAAAACCUUUGCUUCAAGAUCAACUAUUCUACAUAUCAUAGAAAAUCAAAGAAGAACC